AUAUGAUUGAGUAUAAGACCUAGAACCACAACCGGUUCCGAAAAGUUAAAGUUGUGUUUCCUUGUUAGGAGAUACAAAGCCAAAGACUCAUACGGACUUUGGCUACAGCAUAUAAGCUUUGAGAAGCAUGAAGAAGCUAGGUUAAUGUUUUGGAGUCAAGUAUGACAAGAUGUCAUGUGUAUGAUUGAGUAUAAGAACUAGAACCGCAACCUGUUCCCAAAACGUAAAGUAGUGUUUCCUUAUUAGAAGAUAGAAAGACAAAUACUCAUACGGACUUUGGCUUCACCAUAAAAGUUUUGAGAAACAAUAAGAAGCUUGGUUAGUGUUUUCGAGUCAAAUAUGACUAGAUGUCUU
rnacentral:sRNA from 1 species